UACGAAGGGGGCUAGCGUUGUUCGGAAUUACUGGGCGUAAAGCGCGCGCAGGCGGCUAUGCAAGUCAGUGGUGAAAGCCCGGAGCUCAACUCCGGAACUGCCAUUGAAACUGUUUAGCUUGAGGAUGAGAGAGGUGAGUGGAAUUCCCAGUGUAGAGGUGAAAUUCGUAGAUAUUGGGAAGAACACCGGUGGCGAAGGCGGCUCACUGGCUCAUUACUGACGCUCAGGCGCGAUAGCGUGGGGAUCAAACAGG
rnacentral:rRNA from 1 species